UUAGUCAUUCAAGUGUUGACCCAACAUGUCAAUAAACUUCUACAUUUUGUUUUCAUUUGUUGAUUAUAUCAUCAAAAAGUGAAUUGUAGUUAAUUCAACGGUUAAAUUGGUGUGAAAUGAAUCUAUUUAAACUGAAACCACCUUGGAUCACCAUUUAUUACCCGUAAAUUGAAUCAUUACAAAUGAUAACAAAUAAUCAAGACUACCUAUGGAAGGCAAAAAAUGGAUCCAGGUCAAGUAUAAUAUAUUAAUUUAGCGUUUUCAAUUACAAUUGAUUCAAAUUGACAAUUACUAAUGAUAUUUUACUCUUUCUCUCAAGUGGCAGGUCAUAAUUCACCCCUUUUAUUAUUAUCCUAUCAACAACUACAGAUUGUCUCCUCUCGGGUGGCCAUUUCACCAUUACAAGGGUUUUUCUAGGAUUAUAGACAUGACAUAUUUUUUGAUGUAUGGUCCACCACCAUUGUCCACUUGAUUGCUGUCCUAAAGAGCAGAGGGAAAAAUGAGACUAACAAAUGGAUAUUAGUGUUGAAAGGUAUUGAAAGUCAUAAUUCAAAGGGGUUAUUUGCUGCAAUUGACCAGUAUUAAUAAGGGAACCCAAGAGUCAAAAGAUUUUUGUGUACAAAUAAUGUGUAAAGUGGACUGUUGAAAAGGCGAUUUCCUGUUAAUGAUCUUUGAAUCUGUUUGUUAUUUUGCUACAAAUUGCCUGUAAUUUAUGUCUCCAUUUUUACUUCUUAUGGAUAAUCAAACCCUCAAGACACUGUUAUUAGCAUAUUUCAACAAAUGAGCCAAGCAAACGCCAUCCAAAAGAUCUUGAUAAUCAAUGUCCCUAGAAAUGGUGUUUUGAUUUACGUUUAUUUGUAAUACAAGUACAGAUUUCAGUUAAAUAUCCAUAUUAAUGUACAACAUUCAUUAAUUUGGCCUGAUAAGUAUUCAAACAACUUGCUUUCUCUAUAAAAUAUCAUCACCAAGUAUCAAAUUACAAUACAUGGAAGCGAUCAAAGUUGAUAUCUCAAUCCCCUUCACAAACGGCUUUUUGGAUCGAUUACACAGUUUUUCAUACUUUAUUUUAAAAUUCUUGAUUCAAUGUUUUUAAAUUAAUUUCAAUUUACACAAAAGUCAAUCCUGUUUCCUUAGGUUCUACUAAAGUUUGAUAGUAUAAGUGUAAAAGGGCAACGAAUGUUCAGCAAUGAAUAACUUAUCAUUCUUGCCAUUUCAAUAUCAUGCAACUUCGAUUAGCUGACUAUGUUGACUUGGUUUUAUUUUUUGUGUCCAAUCAACAAUCAAGCAAACAAACGAUUGUCUAAUUUUGCUGUUUUUAAGCCCUUUUAGGUUCAAAGCCAUUAAGAGAUUGACAAAAUCAAUACAAAUGACAGACAAAAAAAAGCAACAAUAAGAAACAUUAUAUCACUUGUAACUCUCAAGACAAUUGACCAAAACCAUAAUACUGACCCAUUCUUUAGGCUUAAUUUUGGUCUUUUUCAUUCUUGUUUUUUUUGUCUUUUCAUGUAUCAGUCACUUUAUACACUACCAGUGAUACCUUCAUCAUUAUCAACCUUUAGCUGUCGUUGAAGACUGGUCAAACAAACAUCUCUAUUGCAAUGGUUGAUAUUUAUAUUGACAACAAAGGAAAAAAAACCUAAUCAAUUGAUGACUUUACAUCCUGAGGAUCACAAGGAGGAUAGGAAGGAGAGGAAAUGGUGACAAGGAGAGGAAGAAAAAGAAAGAAAGGAUUCAAAGGAUAAUGAUGAUGCUCAGGAUGCUGUUGAAGUGACCUCACGAUGAGAUGCACUCUAUAUACAAUCAACAACACAUAUGUUUGUGUGUAAACCUGAAAAUCACUUGUUAAUGAUCGAUUUAGCCUGUAGAUUGUAGAUAAUUGUUUGCCGUUAAUUCGAUUAACCAUUUCAAGUGGCUUGUUAUGUGAUAUUAUACAUUUAGAUUUUACAUCUUCCCUUACAUUCAAACCUUUUCAAGUGGCUAUCAUCCAAUCCAAUUUCCUAUUAAUAAAUGCACGCACAUAAAUGUGUAUAUUUAUUAUAGUAUCCACUUGAAGACAACACUGAAUUUUAUACGUUAAUGUAAUCAUGGUAAAUGACUAUCAUCAUUGAUUGUUAUCGAGUAGAGUUUAAAGUAAAAAUAGAUUCUAAAAUGAUUGAAGUAUCAAAGUGAUGGUUAUUAUUAUUAUCAAUUGAGGUUGACCAUCUUUUUAUUACCUAUCAUGGACCAUUGAUCAACUAAUCAGUAAAUCAUUUCAUCCUUGGUUCCCUUCCAUUGAAAAACUCUGUAACCAUUCUAUAUAUCUCGAUGGAAAAAACUGGAACAAUUUAUCUAUUGGAACUAAUUUUCAUCUAUCUUCUUCUCUUUCAUCACCUUCAGUUAUCUAUUGUGAUCCGGGAAUCUCGACAUUAUCAUCGUCAGCCUCAUCAUUUGUUCCCACCUAUUCAUUGUCUUGUGUUGACUUGAGGACAAAACAGUCUCUUUUGUUCUCGUUUAAGUUAACACUAAUUCACUGUCUCCAUGUUUAAACAAAAGGAAACAUUUAACAAUUAGUCAAUAUCAAUCCACCCUUUGAUGAGCUUUAAAUGGAAACUGUUUUAACAAUUGAAUUGACAACAAUCAAAACAAAAGAGCUUUGCUCAUAAUUAUCAUCACAAAUUUUGAACAACCUCAUCACUUUGAUUAUCUCCUGAAAGACUGAUUUCUCAUUCUUUCUCUUUAUUAUUUAGCAACAAAUCAGUCAAACACUUGCAACAAACAAAUUCAAACAUCAUCGAGGGAAUCAGCAAGUUUACAUGGCUUUAAUUGAAAUGAAUUACAUUUAAAAACAAAAAAAGCCAGCUCAAGAUGGAGAAGAAAAAAAGUCAGCCAACUUCAAACAAGAUUAAGAGUAAAAGUAAACUAUAGAAAAAUCAACAAUGAUGUCAAAUAAUCGAAUCGAAUCAAGCCCAUCUAAUUAUGGAUUGAAUUGAACUGUUGAGACUAAUUCAAACUAACAAGUUGCAGGCAAAAAAUGGACCAACCUUUUGCUCUCAUGUUUACACUUUGACACAAAAUUUUGACUGAUUUGGAUGCAUUUUUCACUCUUCAAAGUAAAUCACAAGAAAGCUGAAAGUUGAAAUUGAAUAGAUUUUAAAUGCAUUUUAAAUUGGCGCGUAACAAAAGGAAAACGAAAGUGAAUGAGUCAACAAAAAAAGUAAAAAAAGGUCAGUAGUUAAUAAAACUACGAUAAUGAAGUUUACAUUGGAGGAUAGUAUCAAGAAGGAUGAACAAUCUGGAGCAAUUAAAUUAAAUGAUCCUAUGACACCAAAACAUUAGAUUAACAUACUGUGAAACCAUAAUUUGCUUACAACGUGUAAAUCAUGAUCAUCUUCAUUAUCACCUCACUCAUCACCUUAUAAUAAUCUAUUAAGACAGAUUUGUCCUCUUUUUGGGCAAUCUCGUCUUCUUCCAAUCUUUUGUUUGAUUAUUACAACUAUUGAUGGGCCAAUAUAUUUCACCGAUCCUCCUCUUCCUCCUCAUCAUCACCAUUACAACUAUUGUCACCAUUGUACCUAAUAACCAUCUCUCUUCCUCCGAUUAUUAGCUUCAAUGAUUUGCAAUCAUUAGGAUGGAGAAAUAAGUUUGGAAACAAAUUGUGAAAAAAAGAUGGCAAACCUACUAAUAAUCAAUGUAUUUCAAUGGUUAACUGGUUUCACUGUUCAAGCCCUAAUCUCCAAGUGGGUAAGGAUUUUCGAUGAAAAUUCAAGAUUAAAGGACUUCCAAUGAUGAGUAAAAAAAGAAACGUAGACUCGAGUGAUUUAAGCGUUUGUACUUUUUAUUUUAUUUGAAACCAUUUUACAGCUUCCAAUUGAUACAUUUCACAUAUUAUAUCACACAGAUGAUAUUAUCAAGUAAAACAAGGAAAAUGAAACCACAUACAGGGACAAUGUUGGAUUUGUGUAUAUUUUUUUCACUCCAUUGUGGUUGAAGUUAUGGAAGUUGAACAGAAGUGAAAAUAAAAAAUGAAAUGAUGAUCCAUUUAAUCUAAUCUUUCUCCUCUCUUUAGGUCAUAAGGAUGAUGAUAAUGAUAAUGCGGUUGUUACAAUUGUUAUCCUCAAGUUAAUGAUAGAACAUGAUUUUCAAGGAUUUAUCAAGCAAACAAAGUAAACCAUUUAUUGAACGAGAAGACUUUAAUACCCAUGGUUUCAUCGGAUAUUAUUAUUGUUGUGCUUUUAUUUGGUGUUUAGUUUUAUGAUUGUGAUGAUUAAAUUGUUCAUCUGAUCAGUUAAUCCGUUCUGGAAAGGAACAAUCUUCUCGUAAAAUUCAUUUUCAAUCCUGUUUUUAGAUUUAAACUGUACUUCGUUGUGAUUAUUAUUUUUCCUGGUCUUUUCAGUAUUUAACAGCAAUUUUAUCUGUAAUUUAAUAUCACAUAUACCUUGAACUUUUGGCAAAAUCGAGCCUGAACCUUAUUCUGAGAUAUGAAAAAGUGUAAAAUAUUCUGAGCCAAUUAGCCAAUGUUCAGUUGAAUUUGAUUGCUUGUCAUGUUAAAAUAAUUUAUGGAGCAUUUUGCUGCGAUUAAAUUAAUGAUUUGAAUGUCCAACUUGUAAAUAGAUGAGUUUAGUCGAUAUGAAUGUUGUAUUAGGUAAAUAAAUUAUAAUUGAUUCCAUGUGAAUAAAUGAAAAUAAUAAGCCCAUAAGUAGAGUUAAUAUAAUCUAUUUGUCAUGUUUAUGUAACUUUGAAUCGCAAUAUUUUAGUUAAUAAAUCCCAUUGUGGUCAUAAA